rnacentral:rRNA from 1 species
GGAGGAUCCGAGCGUUAUCCGGAUUUAUUGGGUUUAAAGGGAGCGUAGGCGGACGCUUAAGUCAGUUGUGAAAGUUUGCGGCUCAACCGUAAAAUUGCAGUUGAAACUGGCAGUCUUGAGUACAGUAGAGGUGGGCGGAAUUCGUGGUGUAGCGGUGAAAUGCUUAGAUAUCACGAAGAACUCCGAUUGCGAAGGCAGCUCACUAGACUGUCACUGACACUGAUGCUCGAAAGUGUGGGUAUCAAACAGGAUUAGAUACCCUGGUAGUCCACACAGUAAACGAUGAUAACUCGCUGUCGGCGAUACACGGUCGGCGGCUAAGCGAAAGCGAUAAGUUAUCCACCUGGGGAGU